rnacentral:misc_RNA from 1 species
UUGAAACUUCUUUGGAGAUUAGUACUGUUGCUGGCCUUGUAAUGAGGCAUGUGCACGUCUAUCUCUAAUCUAUUCAUCCACCUGUGCACUUUUUGUAGGAGUUCUUUAAAGGUUGGCUUGUGUAGGCUGAAAGGCUUGUGCAAUGUUGACUUGAAGAGGCUUCUAUGUCUUACAAACCUAUUGAAGUAUGUUCAGAAUGUCUUUUAUUGGGACUUAAAUGACCCUUUAAACUUAUA